rnacentral:lncRNA from 1 species
CAUUGGGGCUUUCCAGCUCUCACAGACCCAUCAGCAUCUCCAGCUGCCAGUCUUGGCAUCUUCGAAGUAAGGAGAGGAAAUCAUUGAGUUCCCCAUCCUGAAGUUAAAUGGCCGGACCAUGGAAAUUGAGUCUACCUUUCACAUGUAUGUCCAGCCUGUAGUCCACCCACAGCUUACCCCCUUCUGUACAGAGCUCACUGGGAUCAUUCAAGCCAUGGUGGAUGGCCAGCCAAGCCUGCAGCAAGUGCUGGAGAGGGUCGAUGAGUGGAUGGCGAAGGAAGGCCUCUUAGAUCCCAACGUCAAGUCAAUCUUUGUCACCUGUGGAGACUGGGACUUGAAAGUCAUG